GAGGGNGCAANCGUUAAUNGGAAUUACUGGGCGUAAAGCGCNCGCAGGCGGUUGGAUAAGUUAGAUGUGAAAGCCCCGGGCUCAACCUGGGAAUUGCAUUUAAAACUGUCCAGCUAGAGUCUUGUAGAGGGGGGUAGAAUUCCAGGUGUAGCGGUGAAAUGCGUAGAGAUCUGGAGGAAUACCGGUGGCGAAGGCGGCCCCCUGGACAAAGACUGACGCUCAGGUGCGAAAGCGUGGGGAGCAAACAGGAUUAGAUACCCUGGUAGUCCACGCCGUAAACGAUGUCGAUUUGGAGGCUGUGUCCUUGAGACGUGGCUUCCGGAGCUAACGCGUUAAAUCGACCGCCUGGGGAGUACGGCCGCAAGGUUAAAACUCAAAUGAAUUGACGGGGGCCCGCACAAGCGGUGGAGCAUGUGGUUUAAUUCGAUGCAACGCGAAGAACCUUACCUGGCCUUGACAUGUCUGGAAUCCUGCAGAGAUGCGGGAGUGCCUUCGGGAAUCAGAACACAGGUGCUGCAUGG
rnacentral:rRNA from 1 species